rnacentral:rRNA from 1 species
GACGAACGCUGGCGGCGUGCUUAACACAUGCAAGUCGAACGGAAAGGCCCCCACUUUUUUGGUGGGGGUGCUCGAGUGGCGAACGGGUGAGUAACACGUGGGUGAUCUGCCCUGUACUUCGGGAUAAGCUUGGGAAACUGGGUCUAAUACCGGAUAGGACCAUGGUUUAGUGUCUCAUGGUGGAAAGAUUAUUGUUUUGGUGCAGGAUGAGCUCGCGGCCUAUCAGCUUGUUGGUGGGGUAAUGGCCUACCAAGGCGUCGACGGGUAGCCGGCCUGAGAGGGUGGACGGCCACAUUGGGACUGAGAUACGGCCCAGACUCCUACGGGAGGCAGCAGUGGGGAAUAUUGCACAAUGGGCGCAAGCCUGAUGCAGCGACGCCGCGUGGGGGAUGACGGCCUUCGGGUUGUAAACUCCUUUCGUUAGGGACGAAGCCGCAUUUUUU